AAGUCAUAACAAGGUUUCCGUAGGUGAACCUGCGGAAGGAUCAUUAAUGAUGCCCUCGAAGUCUUUGGACUGGUAGGGUUUGUGUCGGUCUCUUCGGAGUCGACCUUAUCUCACACACCGUGAACUGUGGCUUCGGCCAUUUACACAAACUGUUAGUAAUGAAUGUAAAAUCAUAACAAACAUAAAACUUUUAACAACGGAUCUCUUGGCUCUC
rnacentral:misc_RNA from 1 species